GAGCCAGUGAGUGUAGUGGUUUGAGCAUUGGACUAUGACUCUGGAGAACAGGGUUCAAAUCCCCACUGUGUCA